GUCACAUUUAGACUGUCCACUUUGGAUGGUGGAGAAGCCCAGGCUGGGCACCCUGCUGAGAUCCUGGACACUGGAGAGCAAAGACAGUCUCCCUGGCCUUGGAGGGAGCGUUUCCCUUCUUCAAACGGUUCUCUUCCCCUGAGCUUCUGUGUCGGUUCCCACGAGAGCUCUGAGAGGCAGGAAAAACUCACUAGGAGGCCAGUUUGGGAGGUGGGCAGCCAGGGUCAUGAGCAAGGGCCUGGAGGACUGGGGUGGGAUGAGGGCUAAAGCCCAGCCCAGAGUGGCCAGCGACUCAUGAGCACAAACCAGAGAGCGCUCGCCACAGCUGACCCAGCCCAGGACUCAUACCAAGGGUGCCAAGAGCUUUGGCAAGGCAGAUUGGCAGUCGUCAUGGUCAGAAGAUUCUAGAGAUUGUCAUCCAGUCUCCUUGUUUUACAGUUGGGAAAACAGGCUCAGUCGGGGAGGGGACUUGCCCCGGGGCAAGGAGGCGGCAGAGCCAGGCAGGUUCUGCUGCAGCCCCGGAUUCUUGUCCCCUCUGACUUCUCACUUAUCCAGGUAACAUCUGCCAGCUCUGCUGUGGAAAUAGCAGGGACACAGGGCACCCUCAGAAGAGCAGGGAGCACUCACACCUGUGGCAGAAACCUGCCGUGGGUCCUUGGCAGAAGGACUCUGACCUUCGUUGAAGCACCAUUGAAGACGGGGCCUCCCACGGGUCCUGGGCCAGGUGUCCAUUGAAAUUCUACUCUAGCCCCAGGGGAGCUACAACAACAGCUUGGACAGGACAGGGCUCUAAAGCCUGACAUUUAUACAAGGAUUUCAACUACUAUAGCGAGACAAACCUUGACAGCAUACUAAAAAGCAGAUACAUCAUUUUGCUGGCAAAGGUCUGUAUAGUCAAAGCUAUGGUUUUUCUAGUAGUCGUGUCUGGAUGUGAGAGUUGCACUGAAGAAAUGAUGCUUUUGAACUGUGGUGUGGAGAAGACUCUUGAGAGUCCCUUGGACUGCAAGGAGAUCAAACCAGUCAAUCCUAAAGGAAAUCAGUCCUGAAUAUUCAUUGGAAGGAUUGUUGCUGAAGCUGACACUCCAAUCCUUUGGCCACCUGAUGCAAAGAACUGACUCUUUGGAAAAGACCCCGAUGCUGGGAAAGUUUGAAGGCAAAAGGAGAAGGGGGUGGAAGAGGAUGAUGGUUAGAUAGCAUCACCGACUGAGUGGACAUGAAUCUGAGCAAACUCUGGGAGACAGUGGGACAGAGGAGUCUGGUGUGCUGUAGUCCACGGGGUCACAAAGAGUCGGGCACAACUCACUGCCUUAAUAACAGCAAGAACAGUAGCAGUGAAGUAAAACCACCCAGAAGUGCUUACAGUAAUAAUUAAGUUUCCCUCAAACUUGCUCCAGCGUUAACAGUUGAGUUGCAGCAAUUUUCAAACUUCUGUGACUAUGAGCU
rnacentral:lncRNA from 1 species